rnacentral:rRNA from 1 species
UCUGUUGUGAAGGAAGAAUAACUUAGAUAGUAAAUGAUUCUAUGUUUGACGGUACUUUACCAGAAAGUCACGGCUAACUAUGUGCCAGCAGCCGCGGUAAUACAUAGGUGGCAAGCGUUAUCCGGAUUUAUUGGGCGUAAAGAGUGCACAGGUGGUUUAUCAAGUCAGUUGUUAAAURCCRAGGCUCAACCUUGGCUCGCAAUUGAAACUGAUAGACUAGAAUAUCGGUGGGGGUAGUAGAAUUCCAUGUGUAGUGGUGGAAUACAUAAAUAUAUGGAGGAAUACCAGUGGCGAAGGCGGCUACCUGAACUGAUUAUUGACACUUAAGCACGAAAGCGUGGGGAGCAAAUAGGAUUAGAUACCCUAGUAGUCCACGCCGUAAACGAUCUAGACUAGACGUUGGGAUAACCCAGUGUCACAGCUAACGCAUUAAGUCUAGCGCCUGGGUARUAUGCACGCAAGUGUGAAACUCAAAGGAAUUGACGGGG